UCCACUAGUUCACUCCUGAUGUUAAUGGUCUACCUGAACGCUGAACGGAUUCGGAUUCGGAUUCAGAUGCGGAUGCGGAUGAGGAUGCGGUUCGAGGAAGCUCAACACUUUCGAGGGAAUUAAGCGGGCCGAACGGCACAACAAUGGAUGGCCGCUGCGAAUCUAAUCCGGAAAUUCAUUAAAAUGGAUUUCUGCACAUUUAAAAAGCAUUAUUCGCCGCCGCUUGGAUCCGACACGAACCCAUCAAUUUAAAAGAGCUUUGUUCUUUCAUAAAUCUCCUGCGCGAAUGGACUUGUUUUAUAUUUAUUGAAAAAAAUCAAUCUAUAAUCCAUUCGCGAAAUGUGAAA